rnacentral:snRNA from 1 species
GGUUGGUGAGGGCAGCUAGUCAACAUCUGUCACUCCAUUGCUUGUCAGGAUUCUUUUAGCCGAUUUGUCUGACUGGGCAGGUGUCCCCUCUCUCCCUCAGUGCUCCAUGUGCAUCCCUCUUGAAGCUUCGCACUCUGUUGAAGAGGACACCAUCCCAGGUAGAGAGGGGGACGGGAAACUGGGCCAA